UCAGUCGGCCGGGCGGCCGCUCCGGACGUCAGGUCCGGGGAGGAAAGUCCGGGCUCCAUGGAGAGACGGUGCCGGAUAACGUCCGGCGGGGGCGACCCCAGGGACAGUGCCACAGAGAGCAGACCGCCUUGCUUGCAAGGUAAGGGUGAAAGGGUGCGGUAAGAGCGCACCGCGGACGCGGCAACGCGGACGGCACGGCAAACCCCACCGGGAGCAAGACCGAAUAGGGGCGACACGGCAGGCCUCACGGCCCGUCAGGCCCUCUCUCCAGGCCCGUCGCCCGGGUUGGUUGCUCGAGGCGUAUCGGCAACGAUCGUCCCAGAGGAAUGGCCGCCACGUCGGGAGCCCCGUGCUCCCGGCCCUACAGAACCCGGCUUAUAGGCCGGCUGAUCCA
rnacentral:RNase_P_RNA from 1 species